rnacentral:rRNA from 1 species
CCUACGGGAGGCAGCAGUGAGGAAUAUUGGUCAAUGGGCGUAAGCCUGAACCAGCCAAGUCGCGUGAGGGAUGAAGGUUCUCUGGAUCGUAAACCUCUUUUAUAAGGGAAUAAAGUGUGGGACGUGUCCUAUUUUGUAUGUAUCUUAUGAAUAAGGAUCGGCUCACUCAGUGCCAGCAGCCGCGGUAAUACGGAGGAUCCGCGCGUUGUCCGGAUUUAUUGGGGUUAAAGGGUGCGUAGGCGGCCUUUUAAGUCAGCGGUGAAAGUCUGUGGCUCAACCAUGGAAUUGCAGUUGAAACUGGGGGGCUUGAGUAUGUUUGAGGCAGGCGGAAUGCGUGGUGUAGCGGUGAAAUGCUUAGAUAUCACGAAGAACCCCGAUUGCGAAGGCAGCCUGCCAAGCCAUGACUGACGCUGAUGCACGAAAGCGUGGGGAUCAAACAGGAUUAGAUACCCGUGUAGUC